GCCGCGGUGGCGCAGUGGUAACUCUCCCGCCUGCUGCGUCGGCGACCCCGGUUCAAAUCCCGCCAUCAGUG